AACCAUUAGAAACAAAAACUAGUCGUUAGAAAUAAUGCAGAAAACUAGCCGUUAGUGCUGUCUCGUGCUUGAAAUCUAUUCCAAUUCCUUAGGGGUCCACUCCAACUACCCAUGAGUCGACACAAACUCUGUAUGAGUUGACUCGGCCAUAGGAUUUGAAAAAUCAACUUUCUAUCUUCUCUGAAAGAGUAGGCUUAUACUGUUUAUGAGUUGACUC
rnacentral:lncRNA from 1 species